rnacentral:rRNA from 1 species
GUCAGCGGCGGACRGGUGAGUAACACGUGGGUAACCUGCCUGUAAGACUGGGAUAACUCCGGGAAACCGGGGCUAAUACCGGAUAACUCAUUUCCUCGCAUGAGGAAAUGUUGAAAGGUGGCUUUUAGCUAUCACUUACAGAUGGACCCGCGGCGCAUUAGCUAGUUGGUGAGGUAAUGGCUCACCAAGGCGACRAUGCGUAGCCGACCUGAGAGGGUGAUCGGCCACACUGGGACUGAGACACGGCCCARACUCCUACGGGAGGCAGCAGUAGGGAAUCUUCCGCAAUGGACGAAAGUCUGACGGAGCAACGCCGCGUGAGUGAUGAAGGUUUUCGGAUCGUAAAGCUCUGUUGUUAGGGAAGAACAAGUACCGUUCGAAUAGGGCGGUACCUUGACGGUACCUAACCAGAAAGCCACGGCUAACUACGUGCCAGCAGCCGCGGUAAUACGUAGGUGGCAAGCGUUGUCCGGAAUUAUUGGGCGUAAAGCGCGCGCAGGUGGUUCCUUAAGUCUGAUGUGAAAGCCCACGGCUCAACCGUGGAGGGUCAUUGGAAACUGGGGAACUUGAGUGCAGAAGAGGAAAGUGGAAUUCCAAGUGUAGCGGUGAAAUGCGUAGAUAUUUGGAGGAACACCAGUGGCGAAGGCGACUUUCUGGUCUGUAACUGACACUGAGGCGCGAAAGCGUGGGGAGCAAACAGGAUUAGAUACCCUGGUAGUCCACGCCGUAAACGAUGAGUGCUAAGUGUUAGGGGGUUUCCGCCCCUUAGUGCUGCAGCUAACGCAUUAAGCACUCCGCCUGGGGAGUACGGUCGCAAGACUGAAACUCA